AACGAGGACGACGACGGCGGCGAGGCUGCUGCGGCGGCGGCGAGGCCGAGGCGGUCGACGAGCUCCGUGGUGCACAGCGAGGAGGCGAUCCAGUCGAGGGUGAGCACGCACUCGGGGCGGAUCACGUUCCAGGCGAACCAGCAGACGACGACGGCGGAGGAGGAGAAGCAGCUGAUCGACCGGGAGGUGGAGCGAGGGGUGGUGUACCUGAUGGGAGAGGCCAACGUGUCGGCGGGG
rnacentral:lncRNA from 1 species